rnacentral:rRNA from 1 species
GAUGAACGCUGGCGGCGUGCCUAAUACAUGCAAGUCGAGCGAACGGACGAGAAGCUUGCUUCUCUGAUGUUAGCGGCGGACGGGUGAGUAACACGUGGAUAACCUACCUAUAAGACUGGGAUAACUUCGGGAAACCGGAGCUAAUACCGGAUAAUAUUUUGAACCGCAUGGUUCAAAAGUGAAAGACGGUCUUGCUGUCACUUAUAGAUGGAUCCGCGCUGCAUUAGCUAGUUGGUAAGGUAACGGCUUACCAAGGCAACGAUGCAUAGCCGACCUGAGAGGGUGAUCGGCCACACUGGAACUGAGACACGGUCCAGACUCCUACGGGAGGCAGCAGUAGGGAAUCUUCCGCAAUGGGCGAAAGCCUGAAGGGGCAACGCCGCGUGAGUGAUGAAGGUCUUCGGAUCGUAAAACUCUGUUAUUAGGGAAGAACAUAUGUGUAAGUAACUGUGCACAUCUUGACGGUACCUAAUCAGAAAGCCACGGCUAACUACGUG